GUCCCCAAGGUUCGUUUGUAGAAUUCAGGAUUUUUUAACCUGCUCUACAUCCAGGCGGCUGUUGUUUUCACUGAUUUAUCCAAUCUUUGGAAAUUAUAAUCUGCCUUUCUUGCAACAGCGUCCCUUAUGAAAAGAUUGCCCUGUGGCUUUCUUGCUGGUCCUUCCUUUCUGCACGUUUUUUUUUUUCACUGAGUUAAAGCAAGACUGGAGAACCUCGUUGCGCCAGAUGCCGCUGAACUACAACUCCCAGCAACCUCAGCUAGCAGGUUCAAUAGUGAAGAAUUUUGGGAGAUAUAGUUCAGCGACAUUUGACAAUCUCACAGGCUAUGUACACCUAAUACACACAUGAGUAGGUCUGUAUAGAACACAAAGGACUGCUGAUUGCAUGUUAGAUCUGCAGCCUCAUCAGUCCCAAUAUAUUUGGAGGAUGCUUGGACUGGACCCUGAUGAAGAAUUUUCGUUCAACAAUUUGGCACCCCAGAUGGGACUCCAAGCUAACCUGGUAGACUGAGUCUGGUAAGCCUCAUCACUUUUAAACCACUUCUGCUUACUUGAAUUUGUUCCCUGGUUGGUAUACUGUGCUUCUUGAUUUGAUGCCAGACUUAAACUUGUUAGGACUAACCUGUCCUGUGGCAGCAAAAAGAGGGCAGUUAGUGCUUUGCUGCCCUCUGGUAGUCAUCAAACAUUUUGCAGUGCUAAUCUGAUAGAUUUAUUAAUUCCAGAAUUUUCUCAUUCUGACGAAUGCAAGUAGACACCUUUUACUAGAUAUUUACUGUAUUCCUUCCUGCAAUUUUGUGUUGGAUCCAGAUUAUCUUGUCUUCACUUCUAAUUAUUACAUAUUUUUUCACUGUUUUGUAGAGAAAAAUACCACUGAAGGAGAGAACAAUUUCUGCAAUUGACUUUUAUUGAUUGAUUGAACUUAUAUCCUGCAGCAAUCAAGUAAACAAGCAUGCAACCAGUGGUGGGAUUCAGCCGGUUCGCACCACUUCAGCAGAACUGGUAGCUAAUUUUUUGUUGCCCAGACCCAGAAUGGACCUCUGGAAGCAACAUCCACACAGAGAAUCGAUUGUUCACAUAUUUGAAUCCCACCACUGCAUGCAACCCAAUAAUAAUCAAAAUUUCCAUAGUAAAAACCAGCAUGGAUGACAAGAAAAUAGAAUUAAAAAAAUAAUUAAAAUGGUUCAGUGCAAUAUAUCGAGUAUACCGUUCCAGAGACCAUGCUAAACAAUGAUGUUGUUUCAAAAAAACCAAUGUCAUCUUGCCUUGGCUUCCUUCACCUCCUAGAAGUGUGAAAUCAGUAUCAGCCCUCCAAGAUCUAAUGAGGGGGGCUGAUUCUGGUUGGAGCAGGCAGCCCCGCAGAUGCCAAAAUUCCAAGUCAUAAAGCUUUUUUUUGUGAACAACAGAAUCUUAAAUUGUAUGCAUAUCAGUAACCAGUGCAGAGUCAGAAAAAUGGGUGUUAUUUAGUGCCAUUGCCAAAAGUUGGCAAGUACAUACAUUCUGGACCAGUUGCAGUUUCUGAAGAACCUUUAAUGGGGUGGUUAAACUGGGUGGUGGUGACAACAUGAAUUACUCUAGCAAGCUUCUCUUGCACCAGAUAGAGUCACACUUGGUGCAUUAGCUAGGCAAAUGCCUCGUUAGAUAUUCCUGUUCUAGCAGGAGCUAUGAGUCUACAAGGACCUUCCAUUGUGAAUUUGCUCUUUAAUGGGUAAUAGCUGUCCAUCCAGAGGCAACACUGAUGUUGACAGAGGACCCAGAUAUAAAUAUAAUAACUCUGUUUUACUUGGGUUCAGUUUCAGUCUGUUUUCUCCCAUCCAGGCUCUUACAAUAGUUGACUAUUAUUAGCAUACAGACUCUCUGGCUAAAAACACCACUAAGGAUACCAUGGUCAACAAUACUGAAGGCCACUGAGAGGUCCAAAAGGACAAGGAGGGGUACACUAUUGACACUCAUAUUCUGAAACAGGCAUCAAAAAAAGCAAUUUCUUCUGUCUCUGUCUCAGCCUGAAAUAUGACUGAAAAAGGUCCAGAUAAUCGAUUUCAAGUGGGAUGUUGUGAAACUGGUUUGCUACUACUGUACUGCCAACAGUGUCUCAAGGAAAGUUGGAAACAGAAUGAUGUCCAACUCCCCUAGAUUGCCUGUUUGGAAGGGGGCACACCACAAUUCCUUCAAGGCUGUUGAAAAUUUCCCCUCCUAUAAGAAGGAAUUUAUAGUCUCCCAGGUGCAGGUGGUCACCUCUCUGCCUGCUCCUUGCAUUAUCCAGGAUAGUCAAGGCUCUAAAAAGGAGAUGGCAAAUGACAAUGUAGACCGCUUCUACCAAAGUCACAGACCCAAAGAAACCCCAGCCUUGUCCACAUGAGGAAUCAAGGCUUCAGCAAAUUUGAGUGAUUUUACCAGCAAAGUGCUAGGCAAACUGGUCAGAUGGCAGAUCUUCACGUUUUCCACAGUAGAAAGUUAGCCAUUCUAAAUAAGGCUGUUGGGUGUCAGUCCACUGGCACAGUAAAGGAGGAAUACAUUACCCUCUUGCUGCCACAUUGUAGACUUGAAUAUAGACACAAACCAUGCUCCAUCCAAUUCACUUGAUUUCCUCCAAGUGUCAUUGUGGAUAUUUCAUUUUCAAGAGAGUUUUAGAAAACCAUGGCAUCAACUGGGCUAGGGAGACACUAUUUAGAGGCAAUGUUGUCCAGAGCCUGGCACACUUUCUGCAGCCAGUUGCACACUAGAUAGUGGCCAGAACUUCUUGCCUAAGAGUUAGGAAAUUUCAGCCACUCUGAGAUGAGUACAAGAUCCAAGAUGUAACCACCAAUAUGAAUCAGGCUCAAGAUUACAUGAACAAGGCCAUGAUGGUCAUGGAGGAGAUGAAUUCCCAAGCUUGGCUCCCAUGGUGGGCAGUUUGAAAUCCCCAAGCACUAAAAGGCAGUGAUUCUCCAACCCCUUGCUCAGAAACCAACUUUACAGCUCAGGAAGGGAUUCCGAUGGCUAGCAGGGAGGUUGGUACACCAGCAGGAUCCCACUGGACUUUUGAUUUAUGCUAUGAUUGAAGAUUAUUUACAGUAUUUAGAAGCACCUACAUUUUCAGAAUUGGAGAUCACAAUAAUUGAAGAACACGGAGACAUGUUUUAGGUGCAAAUACAUCUAUUUUCUAGACAACUACACCCAAUGAAGUGAAAAUUUCCAUAGCACUUUAAUGCAGUCAACUGUUCAUCAGAUCCUAAGGCAGUAUCUAUAUUUUUACUAAAAUGUUUUUCAGAAGUUCAGAGAGUUUUUCUUGAAAUGUAAAACUUGUUUUUCUUAUCCAUGUGAUCAAAGCUGGAGGCUGUGAAUUUGUCCUUUCUGCAAUCUGUU